AAUGAACGUUGGCGGCGUGGAUUAGGCAUGCAAGUCGUACGGUAAGCUUCGGCUUAUAGUGGCGAAAGGGAGAGUAACGCGUGGUUACAUGCCCUCGGGACCGGGAUAGCGGCGGGAAACUGCCGGUAAUACCGGAUAAUAUCUUUGGAUCAAAGGUGUGAUUCCGCCCGAGGAUUGGACCGCGUUCUAUUAGCUUGUUGGCGGGGUAAGGGCCCACCAAGGCGACGAUGGAUACCGGGUGUGAGAGCAUGGCCCGGCUCACUGGGACUGAGAAACUGCCCAGAGACCUACGGGUGGCUGCAGUCGGGAAGCUUCGGCAAUGGGGGCAACCCUGACCGAGGGACGCCGCGUGCGGGACGAAGGCCUUCGGGUUGUAGACCGCUGUCAGUUGGGAGGAAGUGCCGGGGGGUUCUCCCCUCGGUUUGACCGAUCUUCAGAGGAAGGACGGGCUAAGUUCGUGCCAGCCGCCGCAGUAA
rnacentral:rRNA from 1 species